CUUGGAUGGACCUGCGGUGCAUUAGCUAGUUGGUAAGGUAACGGCUUACCAAGGCAAUGAUGCAUAGCCGAGUUGAGAGACUGAUCGGCCACAUUGGGACUGAGACACGGCCCAAACUCCUACGGGAGGCAGCAGUAGGGAAUCUUCCACAAUGGACGAAAGUCUGAUGGAGCAACGCCGCGUGAGUGAAGAAGGGUUUCGGCUCGUAAAGCUCUGUUGGUAGUGAAGAAAGAUAGAGGUAGUAACUGGCCUUUAUUUGACGGUAAUUACUUAGAAAGUCACGGCUAACUACGUGCCAGCAGCCGCGGUAAUACGUAGGUGGCAAGCGUUGUCCGGAUUUAUUGGGCGUAAAGCGAGUGCAGGCGGUUCAAUAAGUCUGAUGUGAAAGCCUUCGGCUCAACCGGAGAAUUGCAUCAGAAACUGUUGAACUUGAGUGCAGAAGAGGAGAGUGGAACUCCAUGUGUAGCGGUGGAAUGCGUAGAUAUAUGGAAGAACACCAGUGGCGAAGGCGGCUCUCUGGUCUGCAACUGACGCUGAGGCUCGAAAGCAUGGGUAGCGAACAGGAUUAGAUACCCUGGUAGUCCAUGCCGUAAACGAUGAGUGCUAAGUGUUGGGAGGUUUCCGCCUCUCAGUGCU
rnacentral:rRNA from 1 species